GACGAAAGUCUGACCGAGCAACGCCGCGUGAGUGAAGAAGGUUUUCGGAUCGUAAAACUCUGUUGUUAGAGAAGAACAAGGAUGAGAGUAACUGUUCAUCCCUUGACGGUAUCUAACCAGAAAGCCACGGCUAACUACGUGCCAGCAGCCGCGGUAAUACGUAGGUGGCAAGCGUUGUCCGGAUUUAUUGGGCGUAAAGCGAGCGCAGGCGGUUUCUUAAGUCUGAUGUGAAAGCCCCCGGCUCAACCGGGGAGGGUCAUUGGAAACUGGGAGACUUGAGUGCAGAAGAGGAGAGUGGAAUUCCAUGUGUAGCGGUGAAAUGCGUAGAUAUAUGGAGGAACACCAGUGGCGAAGGCGGCUCUCUGGUCUGUAACUGACGCUGAGGCUCGAAAGCGUGGGGAGCAAACAGGAUUAGAUACCCUGGUAGUCCACGCCGUAAACGAUGAGUGCUAAGUGUUGGAGGGUUUCCGCCCUUCAGUGCUGCAGCUAACGCAUUAAGCACUCCGCCUGGGGAGUACGACCGCA
rnacentral:rRNA from 1 species